rnacentral:rRNA from 1 species
CAGCAGCCGCGGGAAUACGGAGGGUGCAAGCGUUAAUCGGAAUUACUGGGCGUAAAGCGCACGCAGGCGGUCUGACAAGUCAGAUGUGAAAUCCCCGGGCUUAACCUGGGAACUGCAUUUGAAACUGUCAGGCUGGAGUCUUGUAGAGGGGGGUAGAAUUCCAGGUGUAGCGGUGAAAUGCGUAGAGAUCUGGAGGAAUACCGGUGGCGAAGGCGGCCCCCUGGACAAAGACUGACGCUCAGGUGCGAAAGCGUGGGGAGCAAACAGGAUUAGAUACCCCGGUAGUUCCUGUCUCUUAUAA